ensembl:lncRNA
AAGGGACCCUUAAAGGCCAUCUGUCCCACUCCCUGUACUGAACAGGGACACCCACAGCUCCAUCAGUGCUCAGAGCCCUGUCCAGUCUGACCUUGGCAGUCUGCAGGGACGGGGCACCCACCAUCUCUCUGUACUGGGGACUGCACAUCUGGAUGCAGCACUCCAGGUGAGGUCUCACAGCACAGAGCAGAGGGUCAGGGUCCACUCCCUUACCCUGCUGGCCACAUUGCUUUGGGUGCAGCCAAGAACAUCGUUGGCUUUCUGGGCUGCGAGAGCCCAGAACUAAUUACCGAAUUACUGAUAAAUUGAUAACUGAGAGUUAUUAAACUCUCAGUCUCCAAAAUAGUUUGGUUGCAUAUAAACUGUUUAUUUUGAACUGUUCUGUUAACUCUCAAAACCCACUCAAGAAUUGUUCUGGAACUAGAAAACAUUGCAAGGAGCCUUUGAAUGAUUCAGCAGCAUGGAUGGUAUGGUUCAGGAGCCUAUGCUUAUGCCAUUCUCCUUGGAGGCAUUCAAGGCCAGGCUGGAUGUGGCUCUGGGCAGCCUGGUGGGGUGGUUGGCGACCCUGCACAUAGCAGGGGGUUGAAACUAGAGAAUAACUGUGGUCCUUUUCAACCCAGGUCAUGCUGUGAUUCUAUGAUUCUCCUGCCUAAUUUACUCAUGAAAGUUGUACUGGAGUGGAAGCUCAGUAUGAGAGAAUACCAUCAGGCAACACCAUGUCUGUGAUAUAUCUGUUGGAGUUCCAGAUGUGGAAAGGCUGAUAAACCCACUGGAUACUGUCUACUACCUUAGGGAAGUAAGGAAAAAGAAAAAGGGACUCCAAUAUAAGGGUUCUGCCAUCUUUAAUAGUAGAAAAAUGCCCUAGAGAAGAGCUCCUAAAUAGGUGGGAGAAAAUAUUUUACCAUCUGAGAUUUGAAGAUCUCUGAAAAUGAAGACACAACAGCAAUAGAUUUUCAAGGAGAAACUACCUUGAAGUAACAGAGUGUUUAAUUUAUCAAAUAAGAACAUAAUAAAAACCUAUGGCUGAAAGGUGGAAGGAGAGACAUUCAAAUGAAGAAUCAGGCAUGUAUUUUUAACCAUGUGAGCAUAUGUAACCGUAACAGAUUGCCAGGGAAAGGGAUGGAGUUCCUAAUAUUCUGUGUCUUCACAUCAUGUAUAGGCAACUUCCUGAAGAAGCACUGAUCAAGACAUUUGCCACCAAACCAAAGCCAGAAUGGAAUGUUAAUGUUCUCUGAGAAUGAUUGGAUUAGAAAACCUAACACAUCUUCAUGCCAUGAGGAUCUGCAAAGUCUUCUCUCUUAUUCCAGUGGCAUAAAGUAUGAACAUGGUCCCUCAGCAACUUUGGUGAGAUAGAAGGGAUAAAGCAAAGGCAGGAAGGAUUCAGGAAAAGAAGCAGAGUGAAAAUUUAGGAUGACAGGAAAAAAGGCUUCAUUUGAGAGAUCAGAAUCUCCCUUUCUUUCCCGUGACUGUUUCCUUGUACUCUCCUUGGCAAAACACUUAGAAGAGGUAAUGCUGAUCCUUCUUAGUAAACUAAAUAGCUCCAGAACGUAUUCACAAGCACUGAAAUCUGAUAAUCUAUAAUAUUAAACUGUGCAAAUAGGAGGAAUUUGGCUUUGGGUAUCUAGCCAUCACCCAAACCGUUAGCAAAUCUGGAAAAUUCAAGGACCCAUGCAUACUCCUUGCUUGUGGAGUUAAGGGAGUUCAAUACUGUGGACAUGGGUCAUUCUAUGCCACCUAGUCUCAGUGCCAGAGAAUUAGUUUAAGCGUGUUUAAUUUACUAGUACAGACACAAUUCUUGUUUCCUGAAGCUGUGGUAAUUACCUAAGGAGAUAUAAGCCAGUUUGAGUUAACUUACUGUAUACUUAAUAGUUUUUUGGAAAAGAUAAAGGAUUGAAGAUAAAAGUCUGGGACUUUGCUCAUGCUUGACAUUCUUCUCAGAACUCUGAAGAUAUGUACUAGACUACAAUUUUUGUUUGAAAGUCAUCUGAACAGUUUUGCAAGGUUUCAUCAUCUUGUAUUGUCUGACUGCUGGAAUACACCCACUGAAGUACGAAUCUCCCACAUUUUUUACCUGGAAAAAAUUCUGCACAACCAUUGUAAGGCCUUUUUCCCAAGGUGGCAAAAUCUUAAGCCCAGGAAAGGAAAGCAAGAUUCAUUUCCUUCAAGUGAGGAGCUCUCUGACUUCGAGCUAUCCUUAUGUGUGCUCAUCCAUGUGAGAAGAAGAGGUGAUCUACAGGGACUAUUCAAGUGAGGAGCUCCAGAUAUUUGAACCAAGACCUUCCUAAUUAUUGUCUAAUAGAUAGAUCGUGAAAUCACCCAUCAUAAGGUAAUGCUCAUUUUUGUUUGUGUAAGAGUUUGAAAAUAGUAGCCAAUCUCCAUUUGUGACUUCCAGAGAAAGAUUUCCACAUUGUUUUAUCUUGUUCAUUCUCCACAGAAGUAGGAGCUGACAUAAACUCACUGUUCUCAGAUGGGUAGUUACUCAGCCAUCCCUCUCAGCUGCAAUGUUGGGAACUGUUUUGCUGGACUAUCUCUCUGCAAUGACCUUAUAAAAUCAAGCUUCUCCAUUACACUGUACAGUCAAGCUAGUUUAAAUCAUUACAAGUUGACUUAUUCAGCUGAUGACAAAAGAAGAAAUACUUAUCUCUGAGUCCACAUUCUAUGAUACUUUAGUGAGUACAUUAUCUCUGUCAGCUCAGGAUGCUGCUUCUAUACUUCCCAUUCUAAAGAGCAUUGCUUUUACCUCUGGAGUUCACCAAACUGUUCCUCAGAGGCUGGCAGAGUCACACAUGUGUUCAAGAAAAUAAAAGAAGGAAGGAUAGGGUCUGGAAUAAUGUUACGGUCAUCAGAAGUGGCUUGAUGACAAUACUGGCAAGGCAUCUGUUCACCUCCAUGGAGUAAGGAUUCUGACUUUGAAUGCAGUCUCAUGAAUCUCAUCACAAAGCCUAUCACAAAGUUUAUGUUUUAAACAUAAAACAAGUUCCCAAAACAACAAAAAUUCUUGUGAAACUAACAUCUUGUUCAAAACAAAAUCUUGAGUGGGGAAAUUCUGGUCAUAAAAACUGUGGAGGAUGAAGGAGAGAGGCAUGGACUGAAAGGAGAGUGCAAUGACUGACUUUUGAUUGUUAUUGUAGGACUAAGAUGUUUGCCACUUGCUUCUAGCUAUGCUGUUACAUUCAUUUUCAUGAUGUUUAUUGAGAAUCUUCCCAACUUAGUUAUGGACAGACAUCAGGCCAGCAUCAGACUCUUCAACAUGCAGUCAGAUGGGUGAAUCUGGUUUCACUCCAGAGCUACAGAGCUCCUCACCUCUCUUCUCUCUUCUCUUCCCCACCCAUUGCUCAUGUACCUUUGGGCAUCAGCAAGCAGACAAGUCUGCCAUGUUAUCAGCUCAGCUGUGACAGGGUAAAAUUUGGAGGCUUCCCUUAAUCACUCUAGGUGCAGGUUUACUGAAAAAUUUAUCUUUGACUACAGGCCAGGGCUGCAGACUCCCAAGUGGGAGAAAUCUUCUGCUAAUUUGAAUUUGUUAGAGUAGAGCUGUCUGUUUUCUUUUAUAGCUGGGGAGGACAAAGUAAUGAAUUUUUAUUUUACUGUAAGCAGGCAAAUAUAUUAAACAACAACAAAAAAGAACCAGGUUCUUCAAACAGUGCUUGAGAAUAAGGUUUUCUUUGUUGUUAUAGUAGCUGGAAUUGUUGACCGUUAAUUCAGAGCUAAUAUUUUGAAGCAUGAGGUUUUGCAAGCUGAGCCAUAUUUCUUGCAGGUCAGACUUAGCCCCUUCAGAUAUUUUCCCUUCCCUUCCCUUCCCUUCCCUUCCCUUCCCUUCCCUUCCCUUCCCUUCCCUUCCCUUCCCUUCCCUUCCCUUCCCUUCCCUUCCUUCCCUUCCCUUCCCUUCCCUUCCC